AUGGGCGCCGCCAACAGCCGCGAGGACCUCGACCUCACCUCCUCCUCCGGCGAGGAGGAGGAGGAGGACGCCGACGAGGAGUACGACCCCGGGUCCGCCUCCGGGGCCAAGCAGCGUCAGGACGACCCGCUCCGGGCCACCACCCCCGCCUCCAUCGAGUUCCUCGACGCCAAGCUCCGGGCCCUCGACCUCAAGUACAAGCAGCCCGACAACGCUGCCCGCCUCUACCUCCACGUCGGCGGCGCCUCCGCCGACGCCCGCUGGGUUCCCGCCGAGCGCCGCGCCACCUACGCCUUCCUCGACAAGGCGGUCGCCGUGGACGACGACGACUACUACGACGACGAGCGCCGCGGCCGUCGCUCCUUGUCCUCGGCCUCCUCGCGGGGGCCCCGGUGGGUCCUCGAGGUGGACCCGGGCCGGCGGGUCUCGGCGCCCGUGGGGCAGGAGCUGCAGCUCAAGGCGCUCCCGGGGCAGCGCCGGGCGGACUUCGCCGCGGCGGGCUCCGUGUGGGCGCUGCGCUUCCCCAACGACGCCGCCUUCCGCCGCUUCCGGGAGCAGUACGACCGGUGCCUCUUCGAGAACACGUACGGGGUGGAGGCCACGGACGAGGGCCGCCGGGAGGUCUUCGGCGCCGACUUCGCCGCCUGGGCGCGCCCCGCCGAGGCCGACGACGCCGUCUGGGCCGACGCGGAGGACGACCUCGCCCCUCCCCCCGCCGCGCCCGCCAGGGACCUGCUCGAGGAGUUCGAGGAGGAGGCCGGCGACGGCAGCGGCAUCCAGAGCCUCGCGCUCGGCGCGCUCGACAACAGCUUCCUGGUCGGCGGCGCCGGGAUUCAGGUGGUCAAGAACUUCCGGCACGGCGUGCACGGCAAGGGCGUGUCGGUCAGGAUCUCGGGCGGCCGCGGUGGCGGCACCAGCACCACCAGCACCAACUACUCGACGCCCAAGAAGGCCCUGCUGAUGCGCGGCGAGACCAACAUGCUGCUGAUGAGCCCCGGGGACACCGGCGCGCCGCAUUCCAACGGCGUGCACCACGUCGACAUCGAGACCGGCAAGGUCGUCGCCGAGUGGCGGUUCGAGAAGGACGGCACCGACAUCACGAUGCGGGACAUCGCCAACGACAGCAAGAGCGCGCAGCUGGAGCCCUCCGGAUCAACCUUCCUGGGGCUGGACGACAACCGGCUGUGCAGGUGGGACAUGCGCGACGCGAGGGGCAGGGUGCAGACCAUCGGCAACUCCGACGACUCGCCGGUGCUGCACUGGUCGCAGGGCCACCAGUUCUCGCGGGGCACCAACUUCCAGUGCUUCGCGAGCACCGGGGAUGGCUCGAUUGUUGUUGGCUCCGUCGAUGGCAAGAUCAGGCUCUACUCCAGGAGCUCGAUGCGGAUGGCCAAGACGGUCUUCCCGGGGCUUGGGUCGCCGAUCACGCAUGUGGAUGUUACUUAUGACGGGAAGUGGAUCCUGGGCACCACAGACACAUACUUGGUUUUGAUCUGCACCAUCUUCAAGGACAAGGAUGGCAAGGAGAAGACCGGGUUCAGUGGGCGUAUGGGAAGCAGGAUCGCCGCGCCGAGGUUGCUGAAGCUCAGUCCGCUUGAUUCAAUCUUGGCUGGGAAUGACAACAAAUUCCAUGGUGGACAAUUUUCAUGGGUAACGGAGAACGGGAAGCAAGAAAAGCAUCUCGUCGCGACAGUCGGCAAGUUCAGCCUCAUAUGGAACUUCCAAAAGGUGAAGGACAGCAACCAUCACUGCUACCGCGACCAGGAGGGCCUGAAGAGCUGCUACUGCUACAAGGUCGUCCUCAAGGAAGAGUCCAUCGUCGACAGCCGGUUCAUGCACGAGAACUUCGCAGGAUCCGACUCCCCUGAAGCUCCCCUGGUUGUCGCCACCCCAAUGAAAGUUAGCUCCUUCAGCAUCGCAAGCAAGCGUUGA
rnacentral:rRNA from 1 species